UGUGCGAUCAUAUUUUCUGAUUCGGAUGCUACUCAAUUAUUGUUUAAAGUACUACACCAAGCUCGGCACAUCACAGUGCCCAGGUGCACACUGAAUAAUAAUUGUUUUUUCUUUCUUUGUUUUCAUCAUAGUCAAGACUGUGGUUUACAGUUUUAAGUCCCUGUUUGAAGACUGAGAUGUAGUCCACAAUCAAGUUUCUCCAAAUAACUGGCUAUAAAAUGACACCAUCAGGCACAGUAGACAAAGAAUGGCAUACGGAAUUGAGCAAUGUGGAUUUGAAGCUCUGAUCAUCUACUUCUUGGAUGUCACCAACCAGUUAUUAUACGUCUUUGGGAGUCAGUUUUCUCCUUCUAAAAUGGAGUCACAUAGGAGCCAGAGGAGGAGAAGAGCUGAGGACCUUGGGAAUUCUGAGUGAUGGGCUCAGCCCUCAUCUGCAGCACUCCUGCCGGCCUCUAUUGGCCCCGUUGCCUCAUCUGCAAAGUUGGGACAAUGAUCUGGAGUAACCUGCUGGGUUAGAGAGCUGACACACGUCACAGCGGACAAUGGGAUGAGCCAGAACUAUAAAACAGUGCUGUGUUGAACAAUAAGGUGCCAAGGCUGGGAUGAAGGCAAACAAAAGCCCAGAAAAGCAACCGGACACUGUUUGGACAGUGUGAAAGAUCAUGGGCAGGUCAGCAUUUCAGCAAUGCUGUGCACAACCUGGAGAGGGCUACUUCUGUUUCUGAAGGGGAAACUAAGGCACAGCGCAUUUUUUCACAUCUGGGUAUACUGUGGGAGGAUCUUCUAGACUGUAAACAAAGACUUGGUUGCCCAAGGUGAUGGGAUUUAAUGUAAAGGUGCUUAGCUAUCAAAAAAGCCCAGAAAGUCAACAUCAACUGAAAAACCAGCCCAGCAGGGCUCUAGAAGGUGGCACCAGGAACAGUCACAAGUCUAGUGGUCCCCUCUUGUGACUCUGCGUCCCUCUUCACUGCUUCUACUAGACUGAGUCUGCAUCCUUUACACCUGCUGGCUUUUCUGGUUUUUCAAUUUAUUUUUAACUCAUAAUUAAAAACAUAAAAUCAUAUAUAUGGAUAGGGUAUCAUGGACCUUUUGUAUAUAUCAUGUCUUGUUUAAAUUCGGUUAAAAAUAUCCGUCUCCAAGCUGGAUGUAGGGAUGCAGCCUAUAAUCCCAGUACUCAGGAUGCUGAGGCAGGAGGAUUGAGGUGAAGUUAAGGCGAGCCUGGGCUGCAUAGUAAGAUCAAAGCCAGGCAGAACUGCAUAGUGAAACCCAUUCUGAAAACACAAAAACAAAAGCAUAUCUGUCUCAUCAAAUAUUUGUUGUCUCUUUACAGCAAAAUCUUUCAAAAUUCUUUCGUCUGCUUUUGGAAAUGUAUAGCUGCUGUGUACGGUCACUGCAAUAGUACACCAGAGCUUCUCACUCCUGUCUCUCUAGAACUUAGUAUCUGUUCACCAACCUUGCUCCAAUCGCCACCCCCAAUCUCUGGUUGUAUACCCAGUGGGAGAUUGCUGGGUCACAUGGUAGCCUAUUUUUCAUUUUUCAAAGAACUUCUGUACUGAUUUUCAUAAAGGCUCUACUGACCUUCCCCCACCAGCCUGUCAGGAUUCACCACAGCUUACUACCUUUUGUCUUUGCUCUUUCUGCUUCUUUUUCAACUUCAUGGUUGUUGGUUGCUCACAGCUUGUCGGUCUCCUGGUGUCUGUUUGCUGCCCUUGUACCUUCUUUUAAAUGCUAGUUCGUCCUGCUACUCACUACAUGGCUCAAAUUCUAGAAGAAGCUGCCUAUAAAAUAGAAGCCUCUAUCUCAGGCUCCAAGUUCUGUUUAAUUGUUGGUAGCCAGAACUGUGGGGUCUUAUGAGCCAAACAUGGCAUUUUAUCUGUAAGCCAUGAAGAAAAGAAUCUAUGAAACUCCUGGCAUUUUAGGCCCUCCAGUCAUGUCUAGUGUUGAGUAUAGGUAUUUCAUCUCUACUUUGCACUGUGAAAGGUUGGAGGCUGUUACACUGGCGAUGUCACUGUAAUAGAGAAUGUGACCUGCAUUGUGUGAGAGCUACUAAAAUGUUCAGUGGGAAUUCAGAAAGAAAACUGAUUUGAACUGGUGACUCAGAAAUGCAUCAUGGGUAAGGGGAAAGUGAAAUUGAGCGUCAAAACAUAGCAGAAUGUUGAUAGAGACGAAGGAGGAGGGUAAGUAGGGAGAGCAGUGAUAAAGCCAAGCACAGGCCUGGAGAGUUUCAGGAGAGUCAGGACUCACCUGGUUUGGGUCGGGACAGGAGAAGAGAAGCUAAAUCUGUAAAACCUGAAUUUCAAAGUAAAGAGUCUGCACUUUAUUUAUGGGUUGGCAUUGGAGGUGUCAUUAAAUAGUGCCCAUGUGGGCAGUGAAAGGGUUGACAUUGUGCUAGGCAAAGUCUUCUGGCAGCUGGAUAGAGGGUUGGGAGGAGACAACAGAAGACAAGGAGGUUAUUAUUGUCACUAAGGUGUGUCAGAGAAAACAAGACCAGACAAUGGAUGUGGAAUAAUUUCAGAGGUAGAAAAUAAGAGCUGAUGGUUCCCAAGAGCCUUUGCAUAGCCUGUUCUCGGGUCUUUCUUUACAGGGCUUUGUUUAAUCCACAGUGGUAGUGCAGGGUAUGUCUUUUUGUCUUAGUUUAUAGGUUGUGAAAUAGACUCAGGUCAAGGCAGUGACCUGUUAAGCGGCACAUUAGUGAGUAAUAGAGCUGGACUGACCUAGGUCUAGGGGACUCCCAAGGCCGCGGUCACUUGCGAGUUUUGGGCUCUCUCCCAAGAGGACUUGUGGUUGCCUUAAUGAGGUGGGCAAGAAAGAGUGGUAUCGAAGAGUUUCAAGUUUUCAGGAGUGGGUGGUGGAGAGGAGACCACUCCUGAGACAGAAAUUAGGAGACAAGGAAUACCUUUUGCUUGGGAGUUCUGAGUCUGGAAGGAGAUCUGGGGAGACGAGUGAGGUUAUGAGCUUAUUUUGGCCUUCCCUCAAGGCAAAGCCAUGAAUGAACCUGAGCAGUAGUGGAAACUCGAGGCCGUGGAGAGGUCAGAAGAGUCAGAACUGCAAAAUGGGCCAAUCAAUUACUCCAUCUCUUCCCUUGUAUUUGGACUGGCAUGAAUGACUGCUCUGUUCCCUAGGCCUCUGUCACACUGCCCUGUAAAGCCUGGCUGAUCUUCCACACCUGGCCAUUGGUACUAGACAAUGUCCUCACAUGGACCCAGUCUCCCACCAUCCCACCCGCGUGGCCAUGGGUUGACCAGUAGUCUGCCCCACCUGCUGGAUGAUUAAUACCAAGAACUUAGUUUUCUAAAGAAAUUGCUUAGUUUUUCACACAAAUAAGCACCUGGUAAAACCAUGCCUUUAAUUCUGUAGACAACAACUGACUAAUCCAUCCAUGUUCCAAGGAUACAGCUGAGUAUUUAUGAGCCCUUCUUGAGAAUCUGUUUUCCAGAUCCAGUGCUAUAGACAACCACUUAAUCUAUGUGGACAGAGGUGUAUUUGAAUCUUAGCAGUGAAUACAGCUUUGCUCAAACAAAGGCACAAAUUUGUUUACAGUUGUUUGUACUUUUACCAAACUUCAAGUAAUUCAUUUUAUUAUAUCAGGUGCAGUAUGCCUACAUCUGUCUCCAUGGAUUAUUAUUAUAAAUACUAAUCGUACUAGGCAUGCUCAUUCAGUUUUAAUUUUUAUUAGCAAAUGUUCGCAUUACUUAUUGAUUACAGUCCUUGUGUGGAGUUGGUAUAUGUAUAGAAAGCAUCUCAGUUCUUUUUCUCAUCCUUUAUCCCUUCCUUCUCUCCCCCUUACCUCCAUCUCUAUCCUCUUCACAUUUAGAAGACCUAUCUACCUCCUUACUUCCUAUUGUAUAUCUUUCACUUUUGCUCUUUAUAUUUUGGGUUUCUCAUAUGAAAGAAAUCAUGUAUUUAA